AUAUAUAUAUAUAUGCAUAUAUGUCUAUAUACACACACAUAUAUGUGUAUAUAUAUAUAUAUGUGUGUGUGUGUGUGUGU